GCAGUCGUGGCCGAGUGGUUAAGGCGAUGAACUAGAAAUCCAUUGGGGUCUACCCGCAAAGGUUCGAAUCCUGUCGACUGCG
rnacentral:tRNA from 1 species